rnacentral:lncRNA from 1 species
GGCGGCGGGGCUUCUAGCCUUAGAACCCUAGCAGAAAAGGGAUUCUCCCUUUUAUUUUUUGUUUUUUUUUGUGUUUUUUGCAGCAAAAUGAAACUGCAGAAAGAAGUAAUUUUUUUUAGCUUUAUCUUAAUUGAAACGGCGCCGUUUGAGGGAGGGAGACCCGCGCAUUGCCCUAAUGGGUAAUUUGCGCACUUGGUCCCUCCAUCUUGCGCUUGAAGCGCAAUCUGACCUUUCUAUUUUUUUUUUUGAUUUGGGUUGCAAAUUUUGAUUCCGUUUCAAUCUGGUCUAUAGACCAUGCGCAGUCCCUCACCGCGUUUAGGGCUGUGGAAUAUUUCCCUAUAG